AGCGAACGCUGGCGGCAGGCCUAACACAUGCAAGUCGAACGAAGUCUUCGGACUUAGUGGCGGACGGGUGAGUAACACGUGGGAACGUGCCUUUAGGUUCGGAAUAACUCAGGGAAACUUGUGCUAAUACCGAAUGUGCCCUUCGGGGGAAAGAUUUAUCGCCUUUAGAGCGGCCCGCGUCUGAUUAGCUAGUUGGUGAGGUAAAGGCUCACCAAGGCGACGAUCAGUAGCUGGUCUGAGAGGAUGAUCAGCCACAUUGGGACUGAGACACGGCCCAAACUCCUACGGGAGGCAGCAGUGGGGAAUCUUGCGCAAUGGGCGAAAGCCUGACGCAGCCAUGCCGCGUGAAUGAUGAAGGUCUUAGGAUUGUAAAAUUCUUUCACCGGGGACGAUAAUGACGGUACCCGGAGAAGAAGCCCCGGCUAACUUCGUGCCAGCAGCCGCCGCCGUAA
rnacentral:rRNA from 1 species